CGGUGUUUGGCACCUCGAUGUCGGCUCAUCACAUCCUGGGGCUGAAGUAGGUCCCAAGGGUAUGGCUGUUCGCCAUUUAAAGUGGUACGCGAGCUGGGUUUAGAACGUCGUGAGACAGUUCGGUCCCUAUCUGCCGUGGGCGCUGGAGAACUGAGGGGGGCUGCUCCUAGUACGAGAGGACCGGAGUGGACGCAUCACUGGUGUUCGGGUUGUCAUGCCAAUGGCACUGCCCGGUAGCUAAAUGCGGAAGAGAUAAGUGCUGAAAGCAUCUAAGCACGAAACUUGCC
rnacentral:rRNA from 1 species